rnacentral:rRNA from 1 species
UGAGGAAUAUUGGUCAAUGGGCGCAAGCCUGAACCAGCCAUGCCGCGUGCAGGAAGACGGUCCUAUGGAUUGUAAACUGCUUUUAUUUGGGAAUAAACCUCUUUACGUGUAGAGAGCUGAAGGUACCAAAUGAAUAAGCACCGGCUAACUCCGUGCCAGCAGCCGCGGUAAUACGGAGGGUGCAAGCGUUAUCCGGAUUUAUUGGGUUUAAAGGGUCCGUAGGCGGACUGAUAAGUCAGUGGUGAAAUCCGACAGCUUAACUGUCGAACUGCCAUUGAUACUGUUAGUCUUGAGUAAGGUUGAAGUGGCUGGAAUAAGUAGUGUAGCGGUGAAAUGCAUAGAUAUGUCAUAGAACACCGAUAGCGAAGGCAGCUCACUAGGUCUGGAUUGACGCUCAGGGACGAAAGCGUGGGGAGCAAACA